UCGAGAAUCUUCGGCAAUGGGCGCAAGCCUGACCGAGCGACGCCGCGUGGAGGACGAAGGCCUUCGGGUUGUAAACUCCUGUCGAGGGGGAAGAAGGGGUGAAACCCCUUGACUGAUCCCUGGAGGAAGCACGGGCUAAGUUCGUGCCAGCAGCCGCGGUAAGACGAACCGUGCGAACGUUAUUCGGAAUCACUGGGCUUAAAGCGCGUGUAGGCGGGUCGGCACGUCGGCCGCUGAAAUCCCCCGGCUCAACCGGGGAAGCGGCGCCGAUACGGCCGGCCUCGAGGGACGUAGGGGGGGCUGGAACUUCCGGUGGAGCGGUGAAAUGCGUUGAGAUCGGAAGGAACGCCCGUGGCGAAAGCGAGCCCCUGGACGUCUACUGACGCUGAGACGCGAAAGCCAGGGGAGCGAACGGGAUUAGAUACCCCUGUAGUCC
rnacentral:rRNA from 1 species